CUGCUGGAAGGUCCCUCCUGGACGUGCAGAGUUGCAGUACCAGUUCCCGUGAAGUUGUAAGCUACUCCCCAGGACCAAGUGGUGUUAAAUUUAGAAGUCAUCCUAAUCACCUGACUGUCGUGAAUGGGAAGAUGGAGAUGGAUGUUGAGGGAGUUUCUCCGCGCCCGGAGCCCAUCCCCCGCUCCCAGGGGGCUGGCGGAGCCUGCCAGGCGCCGCCACAGCCGCCCCAGCCCCAGCCCCAGCCGCAGCAGCAGCAGCAGCAGCAGCAGCAGCAGCAGCAGCAGCAGCUGGCUCAGGAUGAACUACCCGGCGAGAGUGCAGGCGCUGAGGACAGCGACGAUCCCGAGGCGCGACCCAACAGCGAGAAGGGAGAGAGCAAGAGAUGUCAUGAACUGGAAGGUGAUGGGUACUCCAAUGAGCUCAUUGCAAGAUCUCAAAGAUUCCAAGCCACUGGCUGCUCCAAAGCGUAAAGCCACCCUUCUGGAGAGGCAGCAGGAAGCAAGCCUGGAGGAGGCUCCACUUUUUGGCCAGAAGAUGGACCACCUUCUCAGAUAUCCUGAGAAGCUGUUAAAAGACAGUGAGAAAGAUGCUGUCCCCAGGACAGAAACACAGCAGCUGGAACCAAGAAGCACCUAG
rnacentral:lncRNA from 1 species